UGGUGUUUGUAGCCACAACCAAUGUGGUGUGA
rnacentral:piRNA from 1 species